rnacentral:rRNA from 1 species
CCCGUUAACGAACGAGACCUUAACCUGCUAAAUAGCCCGGCUAGCUUUGGCUGGUCGCUGGCUUCUUAGAGGGACUAUCGGCUCAAGCCGAUGGAAGUUUGAGGCAAUAACAGGUCUGUGAUGCCCUUAGAUGUUCUGGGCCGCGCGCGCUACACUGACGGAGCCAGCGAGUACUCCCUUGGCCGGAAGGCCCGGGUAAUCUUGUUAAACUCCGUCGUGCUGGGGAUAGAGCAUUGCAAUUAUUGCUCUUCAACGAGGAAUCCCUAGUAAGCGCAAGUCAUCAGCUUGCGUUGAUUACGUCCCUGCCCUUUGUACACACCGCCCGUCGCUAAUACCGAUUGAAUGGCUAU